UUUUUAUAAAAAUACUUUCAAAAGUAUUAACUUUUACUUUUUUUUUUCAUUUUUUUUCUCUCCCAAUCAAAACAUUAAUCCAUAUUCAAAGACAUGGAUGAGUUCAAGAAUCGAACCGAUCUAAAAUCUUUUAAUUUUCAUCCAAAACCCAUCCGAUCUACCUUAUAUAGAUCUAAUUUAGAUUAGCUAAGAUUAAGCUCCAUUCGACACGAAUCAGAUCUAAUCCUAAUCCAAUCCCACCC
rnacentral:lncRNA from 1 species